CACGGGCUGGACUUCUCACCUUCUCCUUCCUCUCCAGGGCUGGACUCAUGAGGAUGUUAGCCAGACUCUCUGGGAUUACACCUGCUGCCACCAGUAGGUUGAGUGAUGGAUGGUGUGGUGGGAGCGAUAGAUGGUGUGGCUGAUGGAGUGGCGGCAAGGCUGGAUGGUGUGGCGUCACUUCCAUCUGCAGAUGGGAGCACUCUCACCACAUAAGAAAAUAAAACCAGCCCAGGACAGAGGAAAGAUGCCAGCCUUGCGGAACCCGGCCUUGAUGUUUUGGGCUGUGUAGGGCUGGGUAUCGAUUCAGAUGUCCCGAUUCGAUUCGA